GACGAACGCUGGCGGCGUGCUUAACACAUGCAAGUCGAACGGAAAGGCCCUUCUUUUGUGGGGUGCUCGAGUGGCGAACGGGUGAGUAACACGUGAGUAACCUGCCCUUGACUUUGGGAUAACUUCAGGAAACUGGGGCGAAUACCGGAUAGGAGCUCCUGCUGCAUGGUGGGGGUUGGAAAGUUUCGGCGGUUGGGGAUGGACUGGCGGCUUAUCAGCUUGUUGGUGGGGUAGUGGCUUACCAGGGCUUUGACGGGUAGCCGGCCUGAGAGGGUGACCGGCCACAUUGGGACUGAGAUACGGCCCAGACUCCUACGGGAGGCAGCAGUGGGGAAUAUUGCACAAUGGGCGGAAGCCUGAUGCAGCAACGCCGCGUGCGGGAUGACGGCCUUCGGGUUGUAAACCGCUUUCGCCUGUGACGAAGCGUGAGUGACGGUAAUGGGUAAAGAAGCACCGGCUAACUACGUG
rnacentral:rRNA from 1 species